AUUGAACGCUGGCGGCAGGCCUAACACAUGCAAGUCGAGCGAAGCGGCGGACGGGUGAGUAAUGCCUAGGUAUCUGCCUGGUAGUGGGGGAUAACGUCCGGAAAAGGGGGCUAAUACCGCAUACUACUAGAUGAGCCUAGGUCGGAUUAGCUAGUUGGUGGGGUAAGGGCUCACCAAGGCGACGAUCCGUAACUGGUCUGAGAGGAUGAUCAGUCACACUGGAACUGAGACACGGUCCAGACUCCUACGGGAGGCAGCAGUGGGGAAUAUUGGACAAUGGGCGAAAGCCUGAUACAGCCAUGCCGCGUGUGUGAAGAAGGUCUUCGGAUUGUAAAGCACUGUAAGUAGGGAAGCGGUACCAACAGAAUAAGCACCGGCUAACUUCGUGCCGGCAGCCGCGGUAAUAC
rnacentral:rRNA from 1 species